CUCAUGGCUUUUUUAAAAGCCACAAUCAAUUACUUGUUAUAUUUGU
rfam:Glycine soja cultivar W05 scaffold1629_3, whole genome shotgun sequence.